AAAUGCUUCCAAGCCAGAGAUCCACUUCAUAGGCUGGCUUAGGCUUUUGAAAUAAAACACCCGCCUGAAACAAGCAUUGGCAGGUUCUAUUUCAGGGAUGGGGCAGAGGCAAGGACCCUGGCCUUGUCUCCAUACAGCUUUAGGUGAUGCAGGGUUUUUGAAUUUGGCCUCUAUUUCAAGCACUUUCUGAAAAAGAAAAGCAUAACCAGGAUAGUUCCAAGGCAGACAGUUCUUCUGUUUAUUUUUUCACAGGAGCGUGUGAGAAAUGGAGACAGAGGGAUUGGAGAGAUGAAGAUGGGGGAUCCGUGGUCUCUGAAGCCCCCAAUGCUUGUGUGAGGGAAGACCAUCAUAUUGGACUAGAACCUACCCUAAUAAUCCCAAUGAAACUUAAUGACUUCUUUGAAGGCCCUAUCUCCAUAUAAAGUCAUAUUCUAAGGUUUGCUUUUUCCAGUGAAGCUUUCUACCAGAAAAAAGGCAAAGAAGAUGGUUUUUCUGAUAAAGUCCCAUGAGAAUGCUCUGAUGACACUGGAAAAGCUUUCUUUCAUUCAUCCACCCACUGGUGACUUGGAAAAUAGCCUCUUCACCUUCAAAUGAGAGAAUAAUGCUGAAUUUUUCUGAAUUUCUAAGACGGGAAGUGAUGUAUCACUAAAACGGUGAGCUCUCACUGAAACAGGAAAUCUUCUACCAGUGUGGGUCUGAGUUGAUCUCUCCCUCCCUCCCUCCA
rnacentral:lncRNA from 1 species